rnacentral:rRNA from 1 species
UACGUAGGGGGGCAAGCGUUGUCCGGAUUUAUUGGGCGUAAAGAGCGUGUAGGCGGCCAAACAGGUCAGCUGUGAAAACUCGAGGCUCAACCUCGAGACGUCGGUUGAAACCGUUUGGCUAGAGUCCGGAAGAGGAGAGUGGAAUUCCCGGUGUAGCGGUGAAAUGCGCAGAUAUCGGGAAGAACACCCGUGGCGAAGGCGGCUCUCUGGGACAGUACUGACGCUGAGACGCGAAAGCGUGGGGAGCGAACAGG